UACGUAGGGGGCAAGCGUUGUCCGGAAUUAUUGGGCGUAAAGCGCGCGCAGGCGGUCAUUUAAGUCUGGUGUUUAAUCCUGGGGCUCAACCCCAGUUCGCAUCGGAAACUGGAUGACUUGAGUGUAAGAGAGGAAAGUGGAAUUCCACGUGUAGCGGUGAAAUGCGUAGAGAUGUGGAGGAACACCAGUGGCGAAGGCGACUUUCUGGCUUAUAACUGACGCUGAGGC
rnacentral:rRNA from 1 species